AGAGUUUGAUCCUGGCUCAGAAUGAACGCUGGCGGCGUGCUUAACACAUGCAAGUCACACGAGAACGCUUCAGCUUGCUGAAGCUAGUAAAGUGGCGCACGGGUGAGUAACGCGUGGGUAAUCUUCCUCCGAAUCGGGGAUAACAUUGCGAAAGCGAUGCUAAUACCGGGUAACAUUCCGAAGUCUCCGGGUUUCGGAAUCAAAGGUGGUCUCUCCAUGGAAGCUACCGUUUGGAGAUGAGCCCGCGUCCCAUUAGCUUGUUGGUAGGGUAACGGCCUACCAAGGCUACGAUGGGUAGCUGGUCUGAGAGGAUGAUCAGCCACACUGGAACUGACACACGGUCCAGACUCCUACGGGAGGCAGCAGUGAGGAAUUUUGCGCAAUGGGGGAAACCCUGACGCAGCAACGCCGCGUGAGUGAUGAAGGCUUUCGGGUCGUAAAGCUCUGUCAAGUGGGAAGAAACCAUCCCGUAAUAACAUGGCGGGAUGCUGACGGUACCACUGAAGGAAGCACCGGCUAACUCCGUGCCAGCAGCCGCGGUAAUACGGAGGGUGCAAGCGUUAUUCGGAAUUACUGGGCGUAAAGGGCGCGUAGGCGGCCUUUUAAGUCGGAUGUGAAAGCCCGGGGCCUAACCCCGGAAGUGCAUUCGAUACUGAGAGGCUUGAGUAUGGGAGAGGGAAGUGGAAUUCCUGGUGUAGAGGUGAAAUUCGUAGAUAUCAGGAGGAACACCUGUGGCGAAGGCGUCUUCCUGGACCAAUACUGACGCUGAGGCGCGAAGGCGUGGGGAGCAAACAGGAUUAGAUACCCUGGUAGUCCACGCAGUAAACGGUG
rnacentral:rRNA from 1 species